AGAGUUUGAUGAUGGCUCAGAACUAACGCUAGCGGCGUGCUUAACACAUGCAAGUCUUACGAGAAAGUCUGCUUCGGCGGGUGAGUAAAGUGGCGCACGGGUGAGUAACGCGUGGAUAAUCUGCCCUUUAGUCGGGGAUAACUCAUCGAAAGGUGGGCUAAUACCCAAUAAUGCUUAUCUGUUUCGACGGAUAAGCCAAAAGUGGCCUCUAUUUAUAAGCUACUGCUGAGGGAUGAGUUCGCGUACCAUUAGCUUGUUGGUGGGGUAAUGGCCUACCAAGGCUGCGAUGGUUAGCUGGUCUUAGAGGACGACCAGCCACACUGGAACUGAGACACGGUCCAGACUCCUACGGGAGGCAGCAGUGAGGAAUUUUGCGCAAUGGGGGAAACCCUGACGCAGCAACGCCGCGUGAGUGAGGAAGGCCUUCGGGUCGU
rnacentral:rRNA from 1 species